CAAUGAUUGCCUCCGUCACUUCAGAUAGAGUGGCAGCGAAUCAAAUUUGAAAUCUGGCCCCAGGCCCGAGUUGUAAUUUGCAGAGGAUGCUUUUGGUGCGGUGCCUUCCAAGUUCCCUAGAACGGGACGCCAGAGAGGGUGAGAGCCCCGUACAGUUGGACACCAAGCCUUUGUAAAGCUCCUUCGACGAGUCGAGUAGUUUGGGAAUGCUGCUCAAAAUGGGAGGUAUAUUUCUUCUAAAGCUAAAUACCGGCCAGAGACCGAUAGCGCACAAGUAGAGUGAUCGAAAGAUGAAAAGCACUUUGAAAAGAGGGUUAAACAGCACGUGAAAUUGUUAAAAGGGAAGCGCUUGUGACCAGACUUGCGUCCGGUGAAUCACCCAGCUCUCGCGGCUGGGGCACUUCGCCGGCUCAGGCCAGCAUCAGCUCGCUGUCGGGGACAAAAGCUUCAGGAACGUAGCUCUCUUCGGGGAGUGUUAUAGCCUGUUGCACAAUACCCUUCGGCGGGCUGAGGUACGCGCUCCGCAAGGAUGCUGGCAUAAUGGUCAUCAGCGACCCGUCUUGAAAACACGGACCAAUGUU
rnacentral:rRNA from 1 species